CCAACGGGGUGCAGCAGUGGGGAAUUUUGGACAAUGGGCGCAAGCCUGAUCCAGCCAUGCCGCGUGAGUGAAGAAGGCCUUCGGGUUGUAAAGCUCUUUCGGUUGGGAAGAAAUUGCACUGGUUAAUACCUAGUGUAGAUGACGGUACCAGCAUAAGAAGCACCGGCUAACUACGUGCCAGCAGCCGCGGUAAUACGUAGGGUGCGAGCGUUAAUCGGAAUUACUGGGCGUAAAGCGUGCGCAGGCGGUUGUAUAAGUCAGAUGUGAAAUCCCCGGGCUCAACCUGGGAACUGCAUUUGAGACUGUACGGCUAGAGUGUGGCAGAGGGGGGUGGAAUUCCACGUGUAGCAGUGAAAUGCGUAGAGAUGUGGAGGAACACCGAUGGCGAAGGCAGCCCCCUGGGCCAAUACUGACGCUCAUGCACGAAAGCGUGGGGAGCAAACA
rnacentral:rRNA from 1 species